rnacentral:lncRNA from 1 species
AUUUAUUUGUUUUUGGCUUUUUAGCAAAAGGUGGGGUUGGGCCCGAUGAGGGUUGCCUACGUAUCUCACAUCCGGUGAGAAUCAAACCCGCGUAGUUCGGGUAAAAGAACUACUUUAAAAGAAGAAAUGAAGUAUAUUUUUUGGAUUUUUGAUUGAUCUUUUUUUUGAAAGAAAUACUUCUAAGAUAUAUUUUUGAAUUUCAUUUGCUUUUUUCUUUUAUUCUAAAGAAGAAAAAUAUAUUUUUUGGAAUUUUACCUUUAAUAAAAGAAACGCUCUAAAAUGUUUUUUUUUUGAAUCUUGAAUUUUCUUUUCAAUUUUUGAAAGAAGAAUCAAAAUAUUUUCGGAUUUUUAUAUAAAUAUAUAUAUAUAUAUAUAUAUAUAUAUAUAUAUAUAUAUAUAUAUAUAUAUAUAUAUAUAUNUUACCUUUAAUAAAAGAAACGCUCUAAAAUGUGUUUUUUUUUUAAUUUUGAAUUCCCUGUCAAUUUUGAAAGAAGGAUCAAAAUAUUCUCGGAUUUUUUUUAUUUUAUAUUAUUAUUUUAUUUUGUUUAUUUAGUUUUUUUUUUUUUAAAAAAAACAAUUGAAAAAAAAAACUUUCUAAAGAAGUCAAUAAUGGAAAAUAUUUUUGGAUUAUUUGUUUUGAGAAUUGGGAUUCUAAAAACUUUUGGCAAGACAAUUGUUCUUGCAACAGAUAAAGAUAUAUAUAAAUUUUUUGGAAAAUAAGAAAAACUUUUUGGAUUUUUUUAUAUAUAUAUAUACUUGCGACAGAUAAUGAAAGACUCCUUUUAUUUUUUCUUUUAUAUGUUUUUUUUGCAUUUUCAUAAGCAAAUAAAUAAUACACAAAAACCAUUUUUUUUAUUUCUUAAAAUAAGACUCUUUUUCAUUUUCUUUUUAAUGGCAAGACAAACUAUAUAUCUUUUCUCCCUUUUUUUUUUUU